CUUAGGUUAGAGUGGGAGGACAGGGGAGAGGGAAGCCUGCGAGGGGGACAGAGUGGGAAUGGGAGAGAGGGAAGGUCUGAUGGAAGUCAGAACAGAGAAGGGCAAGGAAUGGUAGAAACAGAGUCAGAAGUGGGCAGAGAGCAAGCAGAAGGGUAGAGACAAGGACAAAGUAAGAAAGAAGCGAGUCAAAGGGGCACAGGGAGGAAACGUCCAAGCAGGACCAGGACCGAAAGUCGAGGAGAGCCCGAGAGCGUCAGCGUGUGGAGAAGGAGCUGGAGAGGGAGCGCCCCAUCUCGGCUCUCCGCACGGAGCUGGAGCCGGGCGGGAGGCAGGAGCCGGGGAAGGGCGCCCGAGGCAGCAGCGCCCGGUCCUGGCGGGAGUUAACAGCGAAGGAGGCAGGAGUGGGCAGCCACUCCCAGACUGGCUGAGAAGGCAGCGCUCAACGGAAAUCCAGGGAAGCUGGUAUUCGGAGCAACCUCAGUCUCAGCCCAAGCAUACAUCUGGCGACAGAUGCUGAGCAGGCCAGAGUGCCCAGAUGGGGUGAGACAACAGAGUGGCUCCAUCUUUCCCUCACACAGAGCUCUGAGAACUGCAGCUGUGACAAAAGAGAAGUCUUUUAAAGAGCCCCUGUUCCCUGAGGCUGCAAAGCUCCCACAGCACUUGUCAUCCUUGUGGGUGUGAAGUGGCAUCUCAUUGUGGUUUUAAUGUGCAUUUCUCCAAUGACUAAUGAUGGUAAGCAUUUUUCAUGUACUUAUUUGACAUUCUUAUUUAGUGAAUCCUUUGUUCAAAUUUUUUGCUAACUACUGGGUUGUUUGACUUUUUACUGAAUUGUGAUAACUUCUUCAAUGUUCUGUUCACAAAUCUUUUGUCAAACAGAGUUUUGCAAAUAAAUCUUUUCUCCCAGGACAUGGCUUGUAUUUUCAUUUUCUGAACAGUGCCAUCUGAAGAGCAAAUUUUUUUUUAAUUUUUAAGAAAUCCAAUUUCUCAGGUUUUUUUGUUUGUUUUAUAAUUUGUGCUUUUUGUGUCUUAUUUAAAAAAUCUUGGCCUAACCCAUGGUCACUAAGAUUUUCUUUCCUUUGUUUUCUCCCAGAAGUUUUAUAGUUUUAUGUUUUACAAUUAGAUCAGUGAUCCAUUUUUAGUUGAAUUUUAUAUGAAGUGUGAGGUAAGGAUCAAGAGCUGCUGCUUCUUCUUCUUUUUUUUUUUUUGGAAAUGAAUAUCUAUUGUCCCAGCACCAUGGGUUAAAAAGAGUAUCCUUUCUGUAUUGAAUUGCCUUUGCACCUUUAUAAGAAAUCAUUGGUUAUUUAUGUGUGGGCCUAUCUUUGGACUCUCUAUUCUGUUCCAUUGAUAUAUAUAUCUAUAUUUACAGCAACACCACACUGCCUUUAUUAUUAUAGCUUUAAAAUCAGUUGUGAUAGCUAGGCAGUGUACCUCUUCCAACUUUGUUCUUCAUUUUCAAAUUUCUUUGGCUACCUUAAGUCAUUUGCAUUUUCAUACAGAUUUUAGAAUCAGUUUGUCAAUUUUUGCACAAAAUCCUGCUGGGUUUCUGAGUGAGAUUGCAAUGAAUCUCCAGAUCAAUCAGAGGAGAAUUUACCUCUUUGAUAAUAUUAUCUUAUGAUUCAUAUGCAUGGCUUAUCUUUUUUUUAGAUUUUCUUUAACUUCCCCCAGCAAUAUUUUGUGAUUUUCAGCGUAUAUAACCUGCAUAUCUUUUAUAACAAUUUUCCCUAAGUAUUUCAUGGUUUUUAAUGCUCUUAUAAAUAACAUUUUAAAAUUUUCAAUUUAUGACUGUACUUUGCACAUAUACAAAAUACAAUUGAAUUUUGUAUAUUGCUCUUGUUUCCCACAACCUUGCUUUUCCUUUUUUGGGGUAUCUAUUGAGAUGAUCAUAUGGAUCUGUAAUGGUAUUCCCUCUUCGUUCUUGUUAUUAGCAAUUUAAUGUGUAUUUUUCAUUUGUAUAUGUUCUUAAAAUAUACAUUGCUGUUUUGUAUGCAUGUAUUUUUACUGUAUAUAAAUGGUAUUGUUUUAUUAA